UGAGGAAUUUUGCGCAAUGGGAGCAAUCCUGACGCAGCAACGCCGCGUGGGUGAUGAAGGCCUUCGGGUCGUAAAGCCCUGUCAGGUGGGAAGAAUGUCACGGGACUGAACAGGUACCGGGAGUGACGGUACCACCAGAGGAAGCACCGGCUAACUCCGUGCCAGCAGCCGCGGUAAUACGGAGGGUGCAAGCGUUAUUCGGAAUUACUUGGCGUAAAGCGCGUGUAGGCGGUCCUGCAAGUCUGAUGUGAAAGCCCCGGGCUUAACCCGGGAAGUGCAUUGGAAACUGUGGUACUUGAGUACUGGAGAGGAUGGUGGAAUUCCCGGUGUAGAGGUGAAAUUCGUAGAGAUCGGGAGGAAUAUCAGUGGCGAAGGCGCCCAUCUGGACGGUAACUGACGCUGAGACGCGAAGGCGUGGGGAGCAAACA
rnacentral:rRNA from 1 species